UACUUGGUUAUGGAAGAUAGAAGAGAUUUUAUAACAAUAAGAUCCUAACAAUUCUAAUAGAAUCCUAAAUAAACUCUAAUUAAACCUUAAUAAUGCUAAUCAAGAUUUAAUCAAAUCCAAAAGCAAUCUUAAAGAAAUUACAGAAGAAACAUGAAGAAAUUCUAAAGAAAUAUUAAAUAAAUCUUAAAUAAAUCUUAAAUAAAUUUUAAUCAAAUCUUAUUUUAAUCUUAAUUGAAAUUCUAAUAGACCUUAAUUAAAUCUUAGAUAAAAUCCUAACUAAAUCUUAACUAAAUUCUAAAUCCUAAAUCCUAAAUCAAAUCUUAGAAAAAUCCUAAAUCCUAAAUAUAUCCUAAAUCUUAAACCAAAUCCUAGACAAAUCCUAAAUCCUAAGUCCUAAAUAAAUCAUAAAUCCUAAACCAAACCCUAUACAAAUCUUAAGCCCUAAAUUAUAAAUCAAACCAUAGGUAAAUCUUGAAUCCUAAACCAAAUCCUAAAUCCUAAAUCUUAAAACAAAUCCUAGAUAAACCCUAAAUCCUAAACAAACUCAAAUCAAUCCAAAGACAAAUUAAAAUUCCAAUAUUUAUUGAUUAAAUUAUUGAUCUUAUUUAAAAAUUUACAUAGCUUUUGAUCUCUUAGUUUAAAAUCAACACAAUAAAUUUGAAGAUAAUCUCAUUUACCAAAUAGAAGAAAAAUUCUAAAAUCUGCUCAAGUAUUGGCUAGCUUCCUAUUCUAAUUUAAAUAUUGAACUUCCAAUACCAAUAUCUCUUUUUGAACUAUUAUAAUUUUUUUAAAACUCUAUUAAUUUUUUCAAAAUCAAGUCUUGUCUCUAUACAAAAAAAUAUCACUUCAAUCCAAUUGAUAGAUUGCUAAAGAUCUUUAAAAUAUUCAUUGACCUUCAAAUCUCAAUUUUUGAGACCUCAAUCCAUAAAAAAUUUUACAUACAUUAAUCUAACUAUUUGAUUGGCCUCAAAUUUAUAAUACAUAUUAAGCACAAUUAUUCUCACCAAAGUACAAAAUUGCACCUAUAGAUCUGCUACAAAAUUCUUAAAAUUAUCCAAAAUAUCAACCCUAUUUUAUUUCACAAAAAUCUAAGUCAUCCAAAACAACCUUAAUUUUGUAAAGCUCUUACAAAGCCAUUACAAAUCUAAAUUAUAAAAAACCAAUGCUCAUAAUAAUCUUAUCUAGUUUGCUCUCAAAUCCUAUUCUUUAAUCCACCAAAGAACCUUAGAGUCACCAUAGGUGCAUAGUUUUAUACCUUAGGAUCUGAUUUCGACCCAAGUUGACAAUUAGUCCUUUUUAAGAAUCAAUUCUUGACUUCUUAAUGUAAAUUUUGCUAAAAUUCACUAUUAACUUCUUCUUAUACAUGUCUAUAUUAUUUAAGUUUUUAAUCUACUUUGUUUUACUUUAUUUAUGGUCCUAUAAAGUAAGUUGAAGCCUAUUUUAUAAAAAAAUAACAAUAAUAUUAUUUAGUUUUAUUAUCUUUCAAUUGUUAUCUUUAUUUUAAGAUAAUUUUUUAUAAUAUUUUAAAAUAUAGUCUUUCAUAAUAUAAUAUUUUUUUCUCUCUUUCAUUCAUUAAUCAUAUUAUAUCAUGACAUCCACCUCCCCUAAACAUAUGCAUCUUCCAGCAUUCACUAAAUUUUCUUCAUUAUUUUGAUGUAAAGUGUUCUUCAACUUGGUCAAAUUCUUGAUCUUUAAUUUGCACUUUUUCUCUUAUCUUAAUGUCUUGUAAUGGAUUUUGUUCUUCAUCAAAAGAAAUAUUUUUAUUUCAUUAUUUAAAUAAUUUGAUUUAUUUAAUUGCUAUAAGUAUCUUUAAUUCUGUACCAUUAAGUUUUUAUAACAAGUAUAUUCCAUUCUUGUAUACUUUUUUGACAACAUAAGAUCCAAACCAUCUCCUUGCAAAUUUCUUUGCCAUGUUAUGUUGGUUGUCUAAACUACUAUCAUAAAUCAACAUCCAAUCACCAUUUUGAAUUAGUUUGGAUGCAAUUGAUGCUUUUUGUCAAACCUCUCAUUAUUUUUCUUCCUUGUUUCUUUCAACUUCCUUAUAGCUACUUUAAUGUCUUCAGAUCUUCUUUCAAGUUAUCAAAUUUGUAAUGCUAAAAAUUAUUUUCUUAUUAAACCAUCUUCUCAAGUUAAUACAUCCUAUGUUCGAACAACAUCUUCUAUUGACAUCACUAGUUUUUACCUAUACAUCAAUUCUAAUAGUAUGUAUUUUGUAACCAUGCUAUGAAAUAUACAAUCCAUCCAUAAUAAAAAUGAUAAUAAUUCAGGCCAAUCACCUAUCUUAUCUUUGUAUACUUUAUCCGAUUCUUUAAUACUUGGAAAAUAUCCACGUUCACUCUUGCCAUUUCCUUCCGAAUUAUAAGUAGUUGUUAAUGUAAGUUUAAUGCCUAUCCUUUCAAAGAACUCUCAUGUUUCAUUUAUAUUUAAUUCUUCUCUAUCCACAUUGAUUUUUCUAGUACAACCAUAAUGGCAAAUACUUUUCUUCAAUAUAAACUGGCAUAAUCCUUCUAUAGUCUUUAUUCAAAGCACUCUUUCCUUUACUUCAUUUGUCAAAUAUUCUCAAGCAAGUAUCAAAUAUUUCUUUUGUUCAAAUCUUAUUGGUAUUACAACUAAAUCAAUAAUCUAUUUAUAGUAAAUUACUAAUAGGUAUAUUAAAUGUAAUCCAUCUCAAUGAUGAAUGUUUAAAUAUAUUUGAUAAGUCUUAUAAGAUCCUAUAGAAUCUGCUACAUCCUUAUACAUACCCUUCUACCAAUAUUUUUCUUUUACCUUUGCAAAUAUUACUCAAAUGCAUCAAUAUCUGACCCACUAACUUUCAUGAAAUUCUUUAAUGAUAUUUUUUUGAGUGCCAUAGUCACAUAUAAUCCAUUAUGGCACUCCAUUGAUUUUCUUUCGAUAAUUCUAUAAAAAUCGACCUUGAAAAAAACCAUCCAUAAGCCUUUUUUCAAAAUCUUUUAAACUUAUAAUUAGUCCAAUCUACUUGUGGCUUUAAUGUACUUAAGUACUUUUCAAUGUGCAAUCAUUCACCAUCAUAUAAUUCCUCCAAAAAUACUUCAAGUAGUAUAGUUAAAUACAAUUCUUUUAUUUUUACACAUGAAGUUAAAUAAAAGUUGGUGCCAACAUUUUCUUUAUCAUCAAUUAUAUCUUCUUUAUCAUCAUAUCAUGCUCACAACAACUUAUCUGCAACCACAUUAUUUUUUUCCAAAAUAUGCUUGAAUUUCGAAUUUAUGGACUUAAUGUAUGUUAUCUAUCUUAAUAUUAUAUUAUUUGGUAUUAAAUAACUAGAAAUUAUAUCUAAUAGUUGUAGAUAAUCUAUUUCAAGAAUCACAAUUGCACCAAUCAAGUAUUCUUUUUUAUUUUUCAUUGCAAUUAUUAUGUCCCAUAACUCUCUCAUAACUUGUGCAUAAGCCUUUUGAUGAGGAUUUAAAAUCUUCAUUCUAAAUCUAACUACAUAUUUAUUUCUCUCUUCAUCAUCUUAUCCAAUUGUCUACUUAAUAUCUAUUGGACUAGCAACAACCGUCAAUAUCACCAACUACUCUAAAUCAUAAUUAGUCUUUCUCAAAGUUAAUAGUAAAGAAAGAUUUUUUUUCAAAUUUUUCAUUGCCUUAUUUUUUUCAAUGUUCCAUUGAAAUUUCAACUCUUUUUUUAAUAAAUAAUAUAAUAGUUCUACUAUAUGUAUAAAAUAUGGAAUCCAAAUGUGGUAAAAAAUGCAUGAUCUUAAAAACCUUCAAGUUUCUAAUGUAUUUGAAUAUUCUUUCAUUCUUUAAAUUACAUCUAUUUUUUCUAGUAAUGGCUUGUGCUCAUAUGGUCCAUACAUAUGUUCUACCACCAAAACUUCAUUUACUCCAAAUAUUGAUUUUGCUCUUCAUAAGGUUAAAUGAAUCUCUUUUAACCUUGUCAAAAUCUUCUCACAAUCAUCAAUAUGAUCUGCUACAACCUUUUUAUAUUCUUUUGAAUCCAAUGUUUCAUCAUUUUUUUUUCACAUCCCAUAUUUGGUACAUCAUCUAGAAAAGAUAUGUUUUUCUUGGAAUAAAAUCUCUUAAUACCUUAUAUAUUCUACUCAUUAUAUGUGCCACUAAAUUUGUAGUGUCUUGUAGUAAUGUACACAUUUUAAUCAAUCUCAAUGGUAUUUUUAUAGUUGUCAAAUCUUUAAUUUGCAUUACCAAUUAAAAUUGAUCAUAUCCCAAAUAAAGAUUACACAUGGAAUAAAUUGCUUUUCUUGCAAGUACCUUUAUAAAUUCAUCCACUAUUUGACUAGAACCUAGAUUCCUAAUAGUCAUCUUAUUUACUAGUUGCAUGUUUCAAAUAAAUCUCAAUGUUCCAUUUUUUUAAGUACUGUGAAUCACUGAUUAGAAAUUGGUGCAAUAGAUGGUUCUAAAAUUUCUAUCUUAAUUUUUUCAUUGAUUAAUUCAAUAACUUUAGGCAAAUAGGCUUUUGAAAUUAAAAUUGGCCAUAAAUUCUAUGGUUCAUGUGAAACCAUGAAAAUAACCAUAUAUACUACCACACUUGAAUCUAUACAUCCUAUUUCAUUUGGUUAAAUGUAAAUGCCUUUUCAUGUCAAAAAAAUGUCUCUUUGAAACAUCUUUCCUCAUAUUUCAUCAAAAAGUCUUCAUGUCCAAUCUUCAAUCUAUUUAAUGUCAAAUUAUUUUAAAAUUUAUAUCCUAUUUUCCAUAGAUCUGUCAAAUUGAGUUACAUAGAAGCCCUAUUAAUCUUUUUCUUAUAAUCCAAUGGUAGUGGCAAUUCCAAUGGUUUAACCUUCUUUGUAAUAAUCUUAUAUUUAGUUUCCAUCUUCACAUCAUAUCUAUCAACAUAUUCUUUCAUAUUAUUAUAAAAUUCUUUAGAUUGCACAUUUAUUAUCUUAUCAUCACUAUCAAAAUUUAAAUUCAAUAAUACUUGCAAUUUAUCCAUGAUAUCAUGAAAGCUAUUUUUUUCAAAUAUCCCUAAUAUGUAUUCAUCUUCAUCAAAUACUUUACAUUUCUUCAACUCAUAUUCUAUUUUUUUGACAUAUUUUUCUCUAUUCUUCUAAAUUUUUUUAUAUUUUUAAGACAAAUAUAUUCAUCUUGUGAUAAUACAAAAAUGGCCUCAUCUCUUUUAAUAAGCAAGAAGCCAUCAUCCCUUCUAUUAUUGCAAUCUCACUUUAUAAUAGCAUAUGGUAAAAAUCCCUCAUAUGCUUAUUUCUAAAUUCUCUAAUAACCUUUGGCAAAGGUUGCUCUCUUAAACUUCCAUAGUUUAUCUCAUGAUUAGUAUACGCCAUCAAAAAUUGCACCAUUCUGCUUCCAUCUCAACUUCCAAUUCAAGCAUAUGGCAAUUCAUUAUCUAUAAUCUUUAUUUCUAUGCAAGUAGCUAUAAUAUAAGGUUAUCUUAGAAUGAUAGAAUAAGUAGACAUAUCUUACAUAAAGAAGUUUUGUUCAUCAUUAAUAUCUCCUAUUAUAACUUUCACAUUUGGACAUACUCCAUAUAAUUCUCUUCAUGAAUUGUUUGUUGCUCAAAUCAAUCAUCCAUGCCUGAUGUCAAUAAGACACUUUUUCCUUUCAUAUAAGUCUUUUUAUAUUAAAUUAAUCUUUGAACCAUGAUCAAUUAAUGCUACAACAAAUUCUUCUAAAAUUUUCAACUUCAUUAAUACUUCUAUUGUUGUUCUUGUCCAAUGACUAUAAAAAUAAUGACUAAAAGUUUGGAUCUCUUCUUCUUCUUCUAUAAUCCUUAUACGUGAAACAUCUCCUCCAUAUGCAAAAUCAUUGUCAUCUUCAUCUAUCAUCAUUCUUAUCCCAUGUGUAUUUGAAGUUAUAUUUUCAUCCAAAAUUUUCUAUUUCUUCUUAAUGAAAUUCAUAAUGACCUCAUAGAAUUCCCUCUUUAAUAUUCCAAGAACUUCUUUCAAUACAAAUUCUACCUUGCAAUUUAUAAUACGCUUUUUUAAAAUCUUCUUCAAAUCUGUUGUUACUUCAAUAUCUGAUUGUAAUUUAUAAGUAGGAACCUUUGUUUUUUCUUUUAUAAUUUCUAUUUUUUUGUAGAAAUAUUCUCUAUUAUCUCUUUAUAUAUAGGAUUCUUUUAUUAUUAUGAUUUUUCUUCUCUUAUAGCUCUUUUUGAUAGUCUUUUAUUAUUUAGUUCUUUUUGAUAGUUCUUUAUUAUUUUCAUUUUUUUUUUUCUAUUAAUGUUUUAUGUUGUCUCCUUGCAAUAUGAAUUUAUACUAAUAAUACAUUGAUAGGAUCAUCCUACCUAAUAAUUUGUCAAAUAUUAUUACCAAUAAAUUUUAAAUCAUCUCUAGAAUUUAUUAUUUAUUUAUUUAGCAUAGCUCAUUGCACUUGACCACAAAGAACUAGAUUCUUUUAGAAAUUUAAGAUUUAUGCUUAAGUAUUUGUUUAGACUUGCUUCCUUACUUGAAUUUUUAAAUGCUUUCUUUGUAAACACCUUCAUCCCUCCUUUACCAAAGUUUGUCUCCAAUUUUUGUCCAUUUUUUUUUAAAUAUAUCAUGCUAUUUUUUUAAAAAAAUAACUCUAUUGCAUAAUGCCAUUGUAAAAUCUCUACAUUUCCUUCUCAAAUGAUCCAUGCUAUCACACCACAUGUACCUAUGUACUACACCUUCCAUCAAUUCUAAUCUUGGUUUUGUUUAUAUUCAUGAUGAUUGCCUCUUCUUUUCAAGUUUUAUAAAUUUUAUUUCUAAAUCUCUCAUUCCUUGUAUAAUUUUUUAUCAAUGCCCACUUCUUCUUUCUUUAAUGUAGCUAUUGAAUAUUGAAUCAUAAAUUUAAGAUUGGUAGUAGGUAUUUUUACUUGAAAUACUUGUAAUAGUUUUUGAAUACCUACCCUAUUCUUUUCUCUUUCUCUUUUUGUAACCAAUCCUACUGCCUCUUUUACUUCCUUCUAAUUUGUUAUUAAUUCUUUAUUUUCUUCUUUAUCCUUAAUCAAGAUCUCCAACUUCUCUUACAACUCUCUAUUAGUUGCUUGAAAAAAAAACUUCAUUGUAUUUGGAUCCAAUAAUUGCCUUUCUUUCUUUGAUAAAUGAGAAUAUUUCUUUUCAAAUUCUUUUAAUAAUUUUGAUGCUAAAAGAUCCUUCUUAGGCCUUUUAAUUCAUUUAAAAAAUAAUUCUUUAUAACCUAAUCACUAUCUUCCAAGAACAAUUCAUCCUUUAAUGCUUGACAUAAUUUCUUUUAUAAACCUCUAGAAUAUCCUAUAAUAGACCUCACAUGAUUUCUUAUCUUUGAUGUACUAAUCAGUUCAAAUAAUUAAACCAUCUUCUUUUCUAAAACAUGCUUAAAUUCUAUUUCUUUUACAUAAGAUCUUAAAUACAUGUUGCUAUUACAUGAAUAAGGUAAAAUCUUCAAACAUGCUUACAAAGUUGGAAUCAAAACACAUAUCUUUUUUUCUAUUAGUAUCUCUAUUUGUAGCUCCAAUCAAAGCACCAUCCAUAGCUCUUCUUUAAAUUUUCUUGCCUUCCUUCUCUAUAAUUCAAAUAAUCAAAGAAAAAUUCCAAAUACCUUCUAUCUCAAGCUUUUUAUAUUGAGUUCAGCAGUUAUACUAUAUUAUGUGAAGUCUUGCUUGAAAAUACAACAAACACCUAGCUGUAGAAAGUAGAAUUUUUUUUGCAACAAUAAGAUUCUAAUAAUUCUAAUAGAAUCUUAAAUAAAUUCUAAUUAAUUCUUAAUAAUAUUAAUCAAGCUUUAAUCAAAUUUAAUUCAAUUAAUAGAUUAUUAAAGAUCUUAAAAAUAUUUUUAGCCAUCAAACUUCAAUUGACAAAAACUAUCAUAUAUGUUGAUCUAAUCAUUUAAUUAACCUUAAAUUCACAACAUAUAUCAAAUACAAUUAUAUCCAGCAAUCCAUUAAAACUCUCAAAAUUCUCCAAAAUGUCAAUUUUAUUUUAUUUCACAAAAUCUUAGUCAUCCAAAAUAACCUUAAUUUUGUAAAGCUCUUAUAAAGUCAACAAUAUUUGAUUUUUUUCUCUCAAGCUAAGUCUUUGCUCUUAAUAUCUAUCAAAUAAUUGAUUGUUGUAUGCAAUGGCUUGAGCAAUAAAUUAUUUUAAAGAUUUUAUCUUCAGCAUUGUCAAUAACAAAUCUUUGACAUUAUCCUUCAAUCCAAAUUGAAAUUGAUUAAUAAGAGCUUUGUUAUUCCAGUCUAUGUGACAAUCAAGGUUUUGAAAUUCAGCACCAUAUAUGGUGGCUAUUUGUGAUCCUUGCCAUUAAGAUAAGAGUUUGGUCUCUAUUACUCUUUUUUGAUCUCUUUCUCUAAAUGUGGCUGUAAAUACUUUUAAAAAUGAAUUCAAAGCAUAAAAGAGUCAUAAAUAUUUUUUUAUUAAAAGUAUAAAUUAAAAAAAAAAAAACUUUUUGAUAGAAAUGCACCUAUAUAUUUGACUUGAAUAAAUCCAUUGGAAUAUUAGAAAGGAUGCAAUCUUAGAUAAAGCUUGACUUAUUGCAAAAAUCUUAAAAUUUUUCAUCUUCUUCCAUCAAACUUCUCAGGCAUAUUAAUCCUUAUCUCCAUCAUACUUGUAGAAGCAAAAUUUCUUAGAUUUGGUCGUGAUGUCAAUCUACUUGCUUCUUUUAAUUGCAUAAUAUCUUGACACAUAAUUUAAACUUCUUCUAUAGGUGUAGGAAUAGAAUUUCCAUGAUUCAUAUUAAAAAAAUAUAAAAUUUCUAUUUUUAAAGUAUUGAUAAGCUUUGAAGGAUAUAAAUCUUAAAAAAAAGAAAUCUUCAAUACACUUUGGUGUUAUUGAAAGGAACUCAAAAGUCACUCAAAAGGUGAUGUAAUAUUAAACUAGAAUGACUAUUACCAAAAACAAGAAGACUAGAGAGUCUUGAAAUAAGACUAAGGACUAGAAAGGUAUUGAAAAGAAUGAAAAAGGCUUCACUUUUGCCUCCAUAUAUACUCUCUAAAUAAGAGCUAUGUAGCAAUAUUCUAAAGGACUUCUAAUAUGUGUUGACUUUGUUAGCUGCAUGUCUUAACUUGUAAGGCAAGUUAUCUAUGUAUAUACCACGUAGUUAGCUUCUUCCACAAGCUACUAUAUGGAGUUAACUUAUUCCACAAGCUAUCAACAUGUAAUAAACUUAUUCACCAAGUUUUUAACCCACAAACAUAUUUAAAGUCAAAACUGCAUCUAUGAAGCUUCUAAGAAGCUAAUCUAGAAGAUUUUAUGAAAAUAAUCUAUAUUUACAUACUUCUACUUAAUCAUAUUAGUAACUAUUGGGAUAAAUAUAUAUGUCCAUGAUAUUAUCUUCCUUUCUAGAAACAAGUUCCAUGAAGAGCAGUCUUCAUAUAUUGAGAAAAUCCAACAUAUGCUAAAUUUUAUUUGCCACAUAUUAUAAUCUUUGUUCUCUUUGAAGAUGGUUGAUAGGCCCUUUCAACCAUUGAUAUUAUCCUGUACUAUGGCAAAAAGACUAUCGUGUUAUUUAGUAGUUGUUGAGGCCUUUGUAACUUCCUCGAAAUAAAACAUUUGGAACACCAUUAAGAAUUGUUCCUACUUCUAAUAAAAUCAUCAAACAUUGAGAGUUUUUUCCAAGGUCGUGAUACCAAAUACGUUGUAAGUAUCACAACAUGGAUAACAACCAUAAUUUAAAAAUUUAAAAGUAUCAAGAUGUAGAUGAUAAUCAUAAUUGGCAAAAAAAGGUGUUUGUUGACUAGAAUAAUAUAUCAAAUUAUUGUAUGCAAACUCUAUCAAUGGCAAAAGAGUUGUCCAAUCAUCUUAAUGAUAAUUGAUGAUAUACCUCAAAUAUUGCUCCAGAACUUGAUUCACCCAUUUUAUUCGUUCUUCAAUUUAAAAAUGAAAAGCCAAAGAAAGCAUAAUAUCCAUCUUUAAAAUCUUCAAUAGGAUUUUGCCGAAUCUAAAUACAAAUUAAAUUCUCUUAUCCUAUAUAAUAUCCUUUGAUAAUCCAUGAUAGUAAUAGAUAUUGUUAAUAAAAAGCUUAGUUAUUUCUUUACCUGAAAUAGAUUUUAUACAUAGUAUAAAAUAUUCAAUUUUGGUGAAGCAAUCUAUAAUUACAAAUAUAAAGUCAUAUGAAUCUAAAACUAGAAGAUCCGUGAUAAAAUCCAUAGAAAUAGAAGACCAUAGUUUUCAUGGAACUGGUAAUAAUUGAAGAAGUCCAUAAUGUCUUUAGUGAGGAGUUUUGGAUCUUAAACAAGUAUCACAUGAUUGUACAAAGUCUAUGACUACCUUUCACAUUUGAGGCCACCAAAAAUUUAUUAAUAUUAGCUCCAAAGUCUUGUUGUAUUCAAAAUAUUUGGCUGCUAGAAAACCAUGAAAAACUUAAAGGACACAUAAUUGUACCUUACCUUCUAGAAUAUAUAAGAAAAUUUUGAAAUAUAAUAGGUUUUUCUUGAAUUUAAACUUUGAAGUAUUAUAGGACUUAGAAUAAGUAUUCUUGAUGUCAUAAAUAAGAAGAUUAAAGGACAUACUUAAUUAAAUUUAUUUGAUAAAGGUUAAAUCAAUAGUCAAUGUUAAUUUAUUGCUCAAAGAUAAAAAUGCUUGAGCUUCAAGAGAAUCAGACUUUAUUGAUCAAAAGAUGCAUCUCCUUAUUUUGAUAUAAGAUAAGAAUAUCUAAAAAAGAUGUCUAAUAGACCUUGUUAUUUUUUGGAUCUAUAAGUGUUCUUAAAAUUGAAUCUAGAUAAAAACAUGCUCCAAUGAACUUGAUGAUGAUUCAAAACACGUGUUGACAUGAAGUACUCAUGGUUUUAUGAUCCAUAUACACACUGACUUGACUUGAAGUACCUUCUAAAUAAUGACACCAUUCUUGAAAGGAAUCCACAAUUACACAGAGCUCUUUGUUAUGGAUUUUUGUCACAAAUAUAUACAUUUACUUCAAACUUUACUUAUAUGAUUAGGUAGAAGUAGGUAAAUAUAGAUUAAUUUCAUAAAGUAUCUUAGUUAAGCUUUCUAGAAGCUUUAUAAAUAUGGUUAUGAGUUUAGAUGUGUUUGUAGGUCAAAAACUUAGACAACAAAUUAACCACAUAUUGAUAGCUUGUGGAACAAGCUAACUAUGUGGCAUAUACAUAGAUAACUUGCCAUGCAAGUUAAGACAUGUGGCUAUCAAAAUCAACACAUGUUGGAGGUCCUAUAGGACAUCGCCAUAUAGCUUCUACUUAAGAUUAUAAAUAAAGACAAGAGUGAAGCCUUCUUGACUCUUGUCAACACCAUUCUAGUCCUUAGUCUUAUUUCAAGACUUUCUAGUCUUCUUGUUUUUUGCAAUAGCCAUUCUAGUUAAUAUUACAUUACUUUUUAAGUGACUUUCUAGUUCUCUUCAGUGACACAAGAGUAUAUCAAGGAUACUCUUUCUUUGAGAUUCAUGUCCUUUAUACUUUGACAAGAGUGCUAACAUAUUAUUUUUGUCUUAUUUUAGAAGUAAGUAGAUUACUCCUCUUCUAUUAUUGUAUUUUGAAGGUUACGGACUAUCCUCCUUUGAAACAAAAAAAUCUUAUUUUUUAACAUUGAUCUUUCCUUAAAGAGAGUAGAUUAUCCCUCUUUAUGGAAAUUUUUAUUAGAGGUUGCAGAUUACCCUCCUUUAAUUUAACUUUUUGAAUUUCUUUAAGUUGCCUUUACAAGAAAAGAUUAUGGACACUACACCUAGUGGAAGUGAAAAUAGAUUUGCAACUAUUGCAAAUCUUCAUGAGCUUGUCAAUACUCUUAGAGUGAAAUUCUCACAUAUUUCUAACGUGAAUCAUAGAAGUACUAUGCCUAUAUCUAUGGAAGAAGUUUAGAGUUUGUGGCAAAAAGUUGUGCAAUGGAAGGAAGUAAGUAGUUCAACGUCACAACCAAAUCUAGGGAAUUUUCCUUCUACAAGUAUAAUAGGGACAAGGAUUAGUAUGCCUGAGAAGUUUGAUAGAACAAGAUCAAAAUUUCGAGGAUUUUUGCAACAAAUCAAGUUCUAUCUAAGGUUGCACCUUUUUCAAUAUCUUGAUGGAUUUAUUCAAGUUGAAUUCAUAGGCACAGUUCUAUGAAGAAAUGCUCUCUCUUGGUUUGCACCUUUAAUGAAAAAAAGAUUAGCGACUCUUUUAUGACUUGAAUUCAUUCCUAAAAGUGUUUAUGGUGACAUUUAAAGAAAGUGAUCGAGAACGAGUAGCAAAGACCAAACUCUUAUUUUUAAGAAAAGGAUCACGAUCAGCCACCACAUAUAUUAUUGAAUUCCAAAAUCUAGUUUGCGAUGUGGACUAAAAUGACAUAGCAUUCAUCAAUCAAUUUUGAUAUGGAUUAAAAGAUAGUAUCAAAGAUUUGUUAUUAACAAUGCCAAAAAUAAAAUCUUUGGAAGAAUAUAUUACUCAAACCAUUGCAUGCAAUAAUAGAUUAUUUGAAAGGCAUCAAGAACAAAGACUUAGCAAGAGAAGAAUAAGUCAAGUAAUAGCGGUAACUUUCAAGUUUUUUGAAACAUAUUCAUCUAAGCCGAAACCAAUUCAAAUUAAUACAAUACAUUUUAAAACUCUCAUAGAGUAAGAAAAGACUCAAUGUCACCAAGAGGAUUUGUGUUUCUAUUGUGGAGAAGCUAAACACACUUCUCAAUAUUCUCCAAAGAAGGAACACAAUUUAAAAAAGAAGAGUAGAUUUACUAAAGAAGAUAAUGUAUUAGAAAAAGAAUUUCUUCAACUACAAUAAGGGCCGUGCAGCUAGAAUCAUAUGCAACACUUAGUAAAGGUCCUAUUUUCUUUUUAGAUCCCUCACCUUGUUUUACAAUAGAUGUACGUUUAGGACCUAAAAAUCAUAUAGUGCUUGUCUUAUUAGAUUCAGGAGUCUCAAAUUAUUUUAUAGAUGAAGAUUUUGUUAAAAAUUAAAAAAUAACUUUAAUAAAAAAAAACUAAAUCUGUACAUGUGUCACGGACACAGAAUACAGACUUGAUAUCUACCAAGAAGUUCAAGAAGAACUGGCAAGAACUAGAUUAAUCAGAUGAAUACAAGAACAACACCAGAGAGGUGUGCUAGAGCUCCAAGAGAUGUGUUCUCGAGACUGAAGAACUCUUCAGCCUCGAUUCCAAUAUAUACUCCUAUUUAGGAAGCUUCUCAAGCAACUUCUAUCAACUAGGAAGCUUUUAGAAGGUUCCAGAGACUUGCUUCUAGAAGGUUCUAGAAACUUAUCUCUAGAAGGUUCUAAGGACUAUGUCCCUAACAUCUUCUACCAACUAAGAAGCUUCUAGAAGGUUCCAGAGACUUGCUUCUAAAAGAUUCUAGAAGCUUGUCUCUAGAAGGUUCUAGAAACUUGUCUGUAGAAGGUUCUAAGCACUAUGUCCCUAACAUCACCCCCUCCUUUAGCUUUGAGGUCUCUGAGAAGCAAUGUUGUUGUCAAUCAGUACCAACGUAAGAAAAUGAAGAUCCGUCGCAUAACGUCUGCUAUGAACUCCAACUGUUGUUCACGAGGUAAGUGGUUCAUCGGCCCUUGAAGCCAAUGGUAGUGGCCCACUCCUUCAAUUUCUGACCAAGCAUGAACUUCUGUGUCUUCAUUGUAAAAUUGUCCUGCAAAUAUGCCUUCUGGUUGACCAUCGUAAGCAGGCUCGGACUCAAAUACAAUCGCUAGUGAUCGGUUACUUGGUAUCCUUUGUCGUCGUCAUGGUGCAGGUGGUUCUUCAUCUCGGGGUCGCCUUCGUGAACUAGUUGGUUGAGAUAAUCUGACUGGCAUAGUAUCUAUCUCUUCGCUAUCCAUAUCAGAAGACCAAACUAUGGCUACUGAAAAAAUUCUAUUUUAUCUUGGAGAAAAUAACUACAUCAACUACGAAUUUUGGUGGUGCUCUCUCCCUUUCUUCUAUUCUUGGGUGAGCAAGCUUCAGAAAGAAGCUAUUGUCGAACCGGCUUAGGUUUAUGAGGAUGUUGUUGAUGAAACUCCUGUACCUUUUGUGGCGCAUUGGUGAGAUUUUCAGCUUGCUCCCACGUUCGCUCAUUAAUGUCGUAGCCGCACCAAUGAACAAGAUACUCCAACUUGCCCCACCUUUGUCGAGAAUCCAGUAACUUUUCAACCUCGUAUUCCUCGUGGUUCUCGAUCUCAAUACUAGGUGGUGGACAUUGCACUCUUCCAAGAAAAGAUGACUCUCGAUAAGGCUCCAACAAAGAAACAUGAAAGACUGGAUGUACCUUCAUAAAAGCCGGUAAUUCCACAUGGUACGCCACUGGAUUGAUUUGCUUCUGGAUGAUAAAUGGUCCCAAUCUUCGAUAGUCCAACUUAUCACAUGGUUGCUUGGUCUUGAUAUUCCGUCGAAGAAGCCAUGCUUUAUCUCCAAUUUUGAAAGUAGGUGCUUGAUUCCGAAAUCUAUCUGCAGACGCCUUGUAAGAUUCUUGAGCGGAUUGUAAUUGAAGCUUCAACGUAUUUUCAAGCUCUGAUAGUUGUUUCGCAAAUCCUUCAGCUGCUGGAUUGUUAUUUGUUGAUGGACUCAAUAAAUCAAGCUUUGGAUGAUACCCAUAGUUGGAAAAGAAUGGUGUGUAUUGAGUCGACGCAUGGAGGGUGUUGUUAUAUACAAACUCGGCUAGAGGCAGAUAUGUGGUCCAAUCGUCUUGCUGAUAGUUGAUGCUGCAUCGUAAGUAUUGUUCCAAGACUUAGUUCACCCGUUCCGUUUGACCGUCUGUUUGAGGAUGAAAAGCCGAAGAAAGCUUGAUAUCCACCUUCUGUAUCUCAAAGAGAGAUCUCCAAAACUUUGAUACAAACUAGGUUCCUCGAUCUGAUACGAUAUCAUCUGGUAGUCCAUGAUAUCGAUACACAUUAUCGAGAAAGAGCCUUGCUGUGACUUCACUGGACGAUGUCUUCUUGCAAGGGACAAAGUGUGUCAUUUUUGUAAGCCGAUCUACCACGACAAAGAUGCUGUCAAAUGAGUUCGAUGAUGGCAGGUCCGUGAUGAAGUCCAUGGAAAUUGAAGACCAUGGUCGACGUGGAAUCGGCAAUGGCUGUAGGAGUCCAUAAAGACUAUGUCGAGGAUUCUUGGAUCUUGAACAGAUGUCGCAGGAGAGGAUAAAAUCUUUUACAUCCUUCCACAUUUGGGGCCACCAAAAAUCUCGAGAAAUAAGCUCCAAGGUCUUGUUGAAUCCAAAAUGUCCCGCAGUUGGAAAAUCGUGGCGAGAUUGAAGAACUCGGAGUCGUGCUGGUCCUUUUGGGAUAUAUAACCGCUCUUCAAAGAAUAAAAGAUCUCCCUACACCUUGAACUUGUCGUCAUUAGUAUGCUGCUUAAUAUCAAUGGCUAUUGAAUCUUCAAUGGUUACGGCACGUACCUGAUUCAGGAAGUCAACAUCAAUUGGCAUAAUAAUAGUACAAAGUUGAAAUUGCUCUGGCUUCAACAAUGUCAUACAUUGUUGAUCAAACGCUGCUUCUCCAGCCUUUGGUACAAGAUACGAUCUCUUCGAUAAGGCAUCAGAUAGUCCUUGCUGCUUUUCAAGUCGAUAAGUGUUAAUAAAAUCGAACCUAGAUAGCAAUAUACUCCAUCAAGCUUGACGUCGAUUUAGAACUCGAGCCGACAUGAAAUACUCCAAAUUCUUGUGAUCUGUGUAUACGGUCACUGCAUAUGCAGCUCCUUCAAGAAAGUGACGCCAUUCUUGGAAAGAAUCCACUAUAGCAAGAAGUUCCUUAUCGUGGAUCUCAUAAUUGAUUUCAGCAGCAGAGAACUUUCGAGAAUAGAAUGCAACCGGAUGGAUCUUCUUAUCUUCUCCCAUUAUUGAAAGUACAACUCCCAAAGUAAAAUCCGAAGCAUCAGUUUCUAAAUAGAAGGCCUUUGUAAAGUCUGAAUGUAUCAAGAUUGGAGCCGUAGUAAAUGCGAUCUUCAGGUUUUGAAACGCCUUCUCUGCUAGAGGUCCCCAUUCCAGCUUAUCCUUGCAUGUCAACCGAGUGAGAGGAGCAGCAACUUGAGAGUAAUUCUUGAUAAAGAUCUGAUAGAAGUUGGAAAAACCAAGAAAACAUUGUACAUCUCUAACCGUCUUCGGAACCUCCCAGGACAUGAUUGCUUCCACCUUGGAGUCCAUCUUCAAGCCUUCCAUAGUCGCAACGAACCCCAGAAAUUCCAUCUCUAUUUGGUGAAAUAAACACUUCUCCAACUUGGCAUAUAGUCCUCGCUCGCGUAGUUUCUCCAAUACCAAACGAACGUGCUUUUCAUGCACUUCCUCAUUUUUGGAGAAUAUCAAAAUAUCAUCCAAAUAGAUGACAACAAAAUCGUCAAGGUACUCUCGAAAAAUAUCAUUCAUCAUAUGUUGAAAGACUGCUGGAGCAUUAGUAAGACCAAAGGGUAUGACAUUAUAUUCAAAAUGGCCAUACCUUGUACGGAACGCUGUCUUCCACUCAUCUCCUUCCUUGAUUCGUACGAGGUUGUAAGCUCCCCUUAGAUCAAUUUUUGUAAAGAUCCUUGCACGUCCAAGUUGUUCUAAGAGACCAGAAAUCAAGGAUAACGGGUAACGAUUCUUCUUUGUUACCUUGUUGAGGCCUCAAUAGUCCACGCACAUUCGCAACGAGCCAUCUUUCUUCUUCACAAAUAAGAUGGGUGCUCCAGCUGACGAUUUUGAAUGACGGAUGAAGUUCUUGGCUAGAUUUUCGUCGAUGUACUUCCGCAACUCCGCCAACUCCAUCGGCGAUAGAUUGUAGAUUGGGCCAAAAGGCGGUUGUGCUCCUUUCUGUAAGUCUAUGGCGCAAUCAUAUGGUCUGUGUUCUGGUAGAAUGUUGGCAUUUUUCUUUUGAAACACGUCUUUAAAAUCCUUAUAUUGCUCCGGUAUACUUGCUGUCAAGAUCUUCUCCCCGGUAGUUGGUGCCGCAUAAAUGACAAACGGUGUGCCUCUCUUGGACAAUCUUAUAAAUGCUCUUGCUCCAAUAAAUAAGGAUUUCUCUAUUCGGGGUUUUCUACUAGGCUUGCUCUUGGAUGGUUUUGAGGGAAAGGUCAUCUUCCACAACUUACAAUCUAUGGAUGGGUUAUGCUUUUCCAACCAAGAAAGACCAGGAAUAACAGGAUUUGAUGAGGUUCUAAUAAUAUUAAAAAUAAUAUGACUACUAUGGUCUUUAAACGUCACUUCUAUAGGUGUUAGGGACAUAGUCCUUAGACCUUUCUAGAGACAAGUUUCUAGAACCUUCUAGAAAGAAGUCUCUAGAAACUUCCAGAAGAUUCCUUGAAUAUUCUCUUAGAAUAUUCUUCAAAGAUUCCCUAAAGAUUCUUUGAAGAUUCCCUAAAGAUUCUCUUAGAAGGCUCUAGAAGAUUCUUACAAUAUUCUAGUAGAUUCUAGGAAGUUACUUGAGAAGCUUCCUAGCUCUUAGGUAGUUGCUCAAGAAGCUUCAUAGUUCUUGGGAAGCUUCUUGAUGCGCUUCCUUAGAACCAUAGGCCAGUAAUAUAUAUAGGAGUCGAGGUUGAAGAGUUCUUCAGUCUCGACAACACAUCUCUUGAAGCUCUAGCUCAAUUCUCUUGGCGUUGCUCUUGUACUUAUCUGAUAAUCUAGUUCUUGUCAUUUCUUCUUGAACUUCUUGUUUAGAUUUCUUGUUUGUAUUUUUUAGUCCGUGACAGUUUGUCGAGACUUACUUUAUCUUAAUAUCAGAGCUGAAUCCUUCUUGUUUGAGAGCGGAUUACCCCUCUUCUUGAAGGUAUUCUAGCGCUUUAGGGGUUGCGGAUUACCUUCCUCUAAACUGAUAUUUUCUCAAUCACAAUAUCAGAGCUUAAUUCUUUGAGGCAGAGAGUGGACUACUCCUUUCUUUGGAGAUACUUGAGCGUUCUAAGGGUUGCGGAUUACCCUCUCUUGGACUGAUAUUAAUUCCUUCUUUUUGUUUAGCAUAGCUAGUAGAAAAGACUGUUAACAUCGAUUUCAGAGCUUUGCCUUCUUGAUAGAGUGCGGAUUACCCCUCUUCUCGAAAGCAUUGGGGCAUUUUUAGAGGUUGCGGAUUACCCUCCUCUAAAACUGAAAUCGUUUAGUGUUUUUUUUCUUUUCUCCGAGUAGGUUUUAGUGACAGAUAGUGCUACAAUUUUCUCCAAGAGACUUAGCAAUUUCUUCUUCUCUCAAAAUUUUAAUCCAUCUAUUCUCUAAAUAUGGAAGUAGACCAGGUCAUAGACAGUGCAUCUCCACAAGUAGACAAUAGAGUGGCAACUCUUGUAGAUCUUCAAGCUCUUAUGAAUAGUGUACGAAAGGAGAUUGCAUUUCUUCGCAAUCCAAGUAAAGAACCUCAAAUUGAUCUAGUGACCGAAGAAGCUAGACGCAAAAUUCAUAGCCUACAACAAGAGAUUAUUCGACUGAGAGAAGCAAGACAUGUGUCACAUACGACCCCUAUGGAUACUUCAAGGAUUAGUACGAAAGAACCAAAAGCGAGUAUGCCAGACAAGUUUGACGGAACAAGAGCCAACUUCCGAGGUUUUGUGCAACAAGUACGGCUUUACCUACGCCUAUACCCUUCUCGUUAUCCGAAUGGAUUUACCCAGGUUGCUUUCAUAGGUAUUCUUCUAUCAGGAAAUGCUCGCUCUUGGUUUGCUCCACUAUUGGAGAAGGAUUCUUCAAUAUUGUAUGACCUAGAGGCUUUCAUAGAGAGACUUACUGCUGCGUUUGGAGAUAGCGAUCGAGAAAGAGUGGCUGAAAGAAAGAUACAAAAUCUGCGACAAGGAUCACGUUCUUCUGCAAUCUAUGCUGCAGAAUUUCAACAGCUUACAUGUGAUCUAGAUUGGAAUGAUAAGGCAUUCAUGACACGAUUUCGAUAUGGACUGAGAGAUGAUGUCAAGAACUUAUUGAUCACCAUGCCUAAGGUGGAUACUUUAGAAGAACUUAUAUCUCAAGCAAUUAUUUGUGACAACCGCCUCUUUGAAUUACGACAAAAAAGACGAUCAGGCUGGAGAAAUGAUGGAGCAUUUGCUACAUUUUCAAAAGGUCCAGAGAAUCACUCCACAGAUCCUGAACCCAUGCAAAUUGAUGCGGUACGUUUCAAAUCCCUCACAGCUGAGGAAAAGAAGAGACGGUUUGAACAAAACUUGUGUUUAUAUUGCGGAGAAGCGGGCCAUAAAGCUGUAGAUUGUCAGAAGAAACAGAAGCCUCAAACAACAAGACUGAGGAGUAUAAGCAUGCAGGAAAACAAGGACGCCCAGCCACAAUAAGGACCGUGCGCCUGGAAAUCUCAACUUCCAAAAUUAAUCAAGGUCCCUUUCUCUCAGCUCAACCUUCAGAUUGUUUUAUGGUACCUUUACAUCUGGAUAUUCAAGAACUACAAGUCGAUGCUUUAUUAGACUCGGGUGCAUCCGCUUGCUUUAUAGAUGAAGAGUUUUCCAAGCUUCACAAUAUUUCUCUUGUAAAGAAACUUAAGCAUGUCCAUGUAGAAGUCAUAGACGGACGACCAUUGUCUUCGGGCAAUGUUAUCCAUGAAACUAAACCAUUGAAGGUACGUCUUGAAAACCAUGAGAGCAAUAUUGUGUUUAAUGUUAUCAAGAUCCCUUCAUGUCCUAUCAUUUUGGGACUAUCUUGGCUUAAUAGAUAUAAUCCAUUGAUAGAUUGGAAGUUGCGGAAAGUGACAUUUCCAACAAACUCCUUGAAGGUGGAAUCUGCCAAGACAAUGUCUAGAAACAAAUCCUUGUUUAUAGGUGCAAGGGCUUUCAUGAAGGAAGCCAAGCAAAAUACACCUCUUGUCAUCUUCGCAACUCUGACUCGAGAAGAUGCAACUCCGACUUUGGUUAUUUCAAAGCAGUAUGAAGAAUUCAAAGAUGUCUUUGAAAAGAAGAAUGCUGAUAUGCUGCCAGAGCAUCGAUCCUAUGACUGUGCCAUUGAAUUGCAAGAAGGAGCACAACCACCUUUUGGACCAAUCUACAAUUUGUCGCAGACGGAGUUGACUGAGUUGCGGAAGUACAUUGACGAGAAUCUAGCCAAGAACUUCAUCCGUCAUUCGAAGUCGCCAGCUGGGGCACCAAUCUUAUUUGUGAAGAAGAAGGAUGGCUCACUACGGAUGUGCGUGGACUAUCGAGGCCUCAACAAGGUGACAAAAAAGAAUCGCUAUCCACUGCCUUUGAUCUCUGGUCUUCUAGAACAACUUGGGCGUGCAAGGAUCUUUACAAAGAUUGACCUAAGGGGAGCUUACAACCUUGUGCGAAUCAAGGAAGGAGAUGAACGGAAGACAGCUUUCCGAACAAGGUAUGGCCAUUUUGAAUACAAUGUCAUGCCAUUUGGUCUUACUAAUGCUCCAGUGGUCUUUCAACACAUGAUGAAUGACAUCUUUCGAGAGCAUCUAGACGAUUUUGUUGUCAUCUAUCUAGAUGAUAUUUUGAUAUUUUUUAAGAACGAGGAAGAACAUGAGAAGCACGUUCGUCUGGUACUCAAAAAACUACGGGAGCGAGGACUCUAUGCCAAAUUGGAGAAGUGCUUAUUUCACCAAACUGAGAUGGAGUUUUUGGGAUUCAUCGCGACUACGGAAGGCUUGAAGAUGGAUCCAAAGAAGGUGGAAGCAAUCAUGUCUUGGGAAGUUCCGAAGACGGUUAGGGACGUACAAUAUUUUCUUGGAUUUGCUAACUACUAUCGGAUCUUCAUCAAGAAUUAUUCUCAAGUUGCUGCCCCCCUCACUCGGUUAACGUGGAAGGACAAGCUCGAAUGGGGACCUAUCGCAGAAAAAGCAUUUCAAGAUUUGAAGAUGGUAUUUACUACAGCUCCAAUCUUGGUACAUCCGGACUUUACAAAGGCCUUUUAUUUGGAGACAGAUGCUUCGGAUUUUGCUUUGGGAGCUGUACUUUCAAAGAUGGGCGUAGAUGAGAAGCUCCAUCCAGUUGCGUUCUAUUCUCAAAAAUUCUCUGCUGUUGAGAUCAACUAUGAAAUCCACGAUAAGGAACUCCUUGCUAUAGUAAAUUCUUUCCAAGAGUAGCACCACUUUCUUGAAGGAACUGCACAUCCAGUGACCGUAUAUACGGAUCACAAGAAUUUGGAGUAUUUUAUGUCGGCUCAGGUUUUGAAUCGACGUCAAGCUCGGUGGAGUAUGUCGCUAUCCAGGUUCGACUUUGUUAUUACUUAUCGGCCUGGGAAGCAACAAGGGUUGUCCGAUGCAUUAUCAAGGAGAUCAUAUCUCGCGCCAAAGGCUAGAGAUGCAGCAUUUGAUCAACAGUGCAUGACAUUGUUGAAGCCAGAGAAAUUUCGGUUCAACGCAGCUAUUGUACCAAUUGAUGCUAACUUCCUCGACCAGGUACGGGCCGCAACCAUUGAAGAUUCUCUAGCCCUUGAUAUCAAACAACAUGCUAGUGAUGAUAAAUUCAAGAUGGAAGGAGAUCUAGUAUAUUUCGAAGAGCGGUUGUAUAUCCCAAAAGGGCCAACACGACUCCGAGUUCUUCAAUCUCGUCAUGACUUUCCAGCUGCGGGACAUUUUGGAUUCAAUAAGACCUUGGAACUUAUUUCCCGCGAUUUCUGGUGGCCUCAAAUGUGGAAAGAUGUGAAAGAUUUUGUUGUAUCUUGUGACAUUUGUUCAAGAUCCAAAAACCCUCGACAUUGGCCUUAUGGACUUCUACAGCCAUUGCCUAAUCCGCGCCGACCAUGGUCUUCGGUUUCCAUAGACUUUAUUACGGAUCUACCACCAUCGAAUUCAUUUGACAGCAUUUUUGUUAUCGUAGACCGGCUUACAAAGAUGGCGCAUUUUGUCCCUUGCUAAAAGACAUCGUCAAGCGAAGACACAGCAAGAUUCUUUCUUGAUAAUGUGUAUCGAUAUCAUGGUCUACCAGAUGAUAUCGUAUCGGAUCGAGGAACCCAGUUUGUGUCAAAGUUUUGGAAAUCUCUUUUUGAGAUAUUGAAGGUGGAUAUCAAGCUUUCUUCGGCAUUUCAUCCUCAAACGGACGGCCAAACAGAACGGGUGAAUCAAGUUUUAGAGCAAUAUUUACGUUGCACCAUCAACUAUCAACAAGAUGAUUGGGCCGCAUAUCUAUCGCUAGCCGAGUUCGCAUAUAACAACACCCUUCAUGCGUCAACUCAACAAAUGCCAUUCUUUUCCAAUUAUGGAUACCAUUCGAAGCUUGACUUAUAGAGUUCGUCAACGAUUAACAAUCCGGCAGCUGAAGGAUUGGUGAAGGAGCUUUUGCAGCUUCAAACUACAUUGAAGCUUCAAUUGCAAACUGCCCAAGAAUCUUACAAGGCAUCCGCGGACAAAUUUUGGAAUCAGGCACCUAAAUUCACGAUUGGAGACAAAGUUUGGCUGCUUCGACGAAAUAUUAAGACCAAGCGACCAUGUGACAAAUUGGACUAUCUGAGAUUGGGACCAUUUGUUAUCCAGAAGCAGAUCAAUCCUGUAGCGUAUUGUCUGGAGUUACUAGCUACUAUGAAGGUACAUCUUGUCUUUCAUGUUUCUUUGUUGGAGCCUUAUCGAGAAUCGUCUUUUCUUAGAAGAGUACAAUGUCCACCACCUAGCAUAGAAAUAGAGAACCACGAAGAAUACGAGGUAGAAUAGGUCUUGGAUUUACGGCAAAGACGGGAUAAAUUAGAAUACUUUGUGCAUUGGAGCGGUUACGAUAUUAAUGAACGAACAUGGGAGCCGGCCGAAAAUCUCACGAAUGCGCCGCAAGAGGUACAGGAGUUUCAUCGACGAUAUCCUGAGAAACCCAAGCCGGUUCGACGAUAGCUUCUUAUUGAAGCUUGCUCAUCCAGAAAACAGAAAAGAGGAGAGAGCACCACCAAAAUCCAUAGUUGAUGUAGUCAUUCUCUCCAAGAUAGCGUAGAACUUUGUUAGUAGUCCAAGUUUGUUCUUAUUGUUUUAGCCUUUGAAUAUGGAUAGCCAAGAUACUACACUUGUCAUGUCAUCUCAAGCAACUAGCUCACGAAGACGACCACGAGAUGAAGAACCGCUUGCACCAUGACGACGUCGAAGGAUUCCGAGCAACAGAUCGCUGGUGAUUGUAUUUGAGGUCGAGCCUGCCUACAAUGGUCAGCCAAAAAGAGUGUUUGCAGGACAAUUUCACAAUGAAGACACGGAGGUUCAUGCUUGGUCAGAAGUUGAAGGCGUGGGCCACUACUGUUGGCUUCAAGGACCAUUGAAUCACUUGCCUCGUAAACAACAAUUGGAGUUCAUAGCAGAGGUUAUGCGACAGAUCUUCAUUUUCUUGCGUUGGUAUUGACUGACGAUAACAUUGCUUCUCGGAGACCUCGAAGCUAAAGGAGGAGGUGAUGUUAGGGACAUAGUCCUUAGACCUUUCUAGAGACAAGUUUCUAGAACCUUCUAGAAAGAAGUCUCUAGAAACUUCCAGAAGAUUCCUUGAAUAUUCUCUUAGAAUAUUCUUUAAAGAUUCCCUAAAGAUUCUUUGAAGAUUUCCUAAAGAUUCCUUUAGAAGGCUCUAGAAGAUUCUUAGAAUAUUCUAGUAGAUUCUAGGAAGUUACUUGAGAAGCUUCCUAGCUCUUGGGUAGUUGCUCAAGAAGCUUCAUAGUUCUUAGGAAGCUUCUUGAUGCGCUUCCUUAGAACCAUAGGCCAGUAGUAUAUAUAGGAGUCGAGGCUGAAGAGUUCUUCAGUCUCGACAACGCAUCUCUUGAAGCUUUAGCUCAAUUCUCUUGGCGUUGCUCUUGUACUUAUCUGAUAAUCUAGUUCUUGUCAUUUCUUCUUGAACUUCUUGUUUAGAUUUCUUGUUUGUAUUUUUUGGUCCAUAACAAUAGGUUCUGAUUCAUGGGUGACACUACCAGAUAAUAAAGGUCGUCCAUCUAUGACCUCAACGUGAACAGGUUUGGAUUUUUGUACUAAAGGGAUCUUAUGACGCUUUACAAAUUCUUCAUCUAAAAAACAAGCAGAUGCUCCUGAAUCUAAUAAUGCUAAGGUUCUCAGUUUCUGAGGGCUAAUAAACAAAGGGAUUGUAAAAGAAAGGGCAGGUUGAGCGGAAAGAAAGGAACCUGGUUGUUGUUGCGAUAUUUCACUAUCUAGCUGCACGGUUCCUAUUGUGGCUGGGCAUCCUCGUUUUCCUGAAUAAACGUGCCCCUAGUCUUGAUAAUACGUCGAUUUUGGUUCUUGGGGCAGUUUCUAACUUUGUGGCCUUCUUCACCGCAAUACAAGCAUAGACCUUCCUCCAUACGUCGCUUUUUUUCUUCUAGAGUAAGAGAUUUGACACGUACCGCAUCAAUUUGCAUGUCUUCUACCUCUGAAUGUGAAUUCACGCUGCUUGCCGACAUAGUUGGGGUGUGGCGAACCGUAUGUUGUCUUAAACAUUGGUCUUGGCGAUGUUGGAAUAGGCGGUUAUCGCACUUCACAGCUUGGCUAAUAGCUUCGUUGAGCGUUUGCGGAUCAGGAAGAGUUAAUAGCAAAUGCUUCACAUCGUCCCUUAAACCCUAAUAGAAUUGACUCAUAAACGCUUCUUCGUCCCAAUUGAUGUCGCAUGCUAAUUGCCUGAAGUCCGAUGCAUAGACUGAUGUAGAACGCAUCCCUUGUCGUUGUCGUAUGGCAUGAUUUUCUAUCUGGGAAUACACCGGGUAUCUAGCUGUAGAGAGUUUAGGUUUCUUUUUUAUAUAAUGCCUUAGCUCCCAAAAACAAACUCCUUGCUUUGUAUAAAAUUUCAAAAUAUCUUAAAAUUCUUCAAAAUAUAUUUCUUCCCGCCAAGGACCUUUUUACAUCAGACUUUGAAAAUUCAUAAAAGCUAAUCCAACCGAUCACUUCGUUACAAAUUUCUACAUAAGCUAGAUGCUAUACUUAACUUUUACCACAAAUAAAUUUAACCGUACAUCUAUCACCGAUCGUUCGGCAUCUAAGAAACCCUAGCAGGUGCACAAAACCCUAACUUACCAGCACCCGAAAACUAUUUGCCUUAUAUCUCUUAAACCCAAGCUCCAAAUCACACAAAACUUAUAAAGAAAGCUUUAUAACAAGGUUACACACAAUCUUGGAAAUUUUGAGCUAAAACCUCAUCAAAUUGUCUAAGAUAUAGCUCAAAUCACAAGCACAAGUAAUUCGGGCUACUUACUACCCUUAGAUAUCAAGCUCUGACUUCAACUGCCAAUAUCUCCUUCAUAAAAGCUUGGAAUUCGAUAAACAGUAUGCACAAACUGUAGCCGAAAAAGUGCUCUCUUCAAAUCCGGUCGCCGAUCCUCGUUUGCUGUCCGUACGCGUGCGGUAUGCUCAAAAGAGUGACAGUACGUCGAAAACUUACACCUUAACUUUGAGCGCCUAUAACUUCUUCAUAUAAACCCCAAAUGACACAAAUUUUGCACCAAAACCAUAUCCAAAAACCUAAACCUUCUGAUCCUAGCCUUCAAAGUUCGAAUGGCCUCGAGAAACUAACCCUAAUCCCUAAUAUGGCCUCGGG
rnacentral:lncRNA from 1 species